CUCUGCUUUUCCCAUCAAACAAGUAACAAAAAAAUAUAAAGCUACUGCAAAAUUGGGUUUGUUUAUUCAUCCUGAAACAAAUAAGUAACGAGAACAAUAAUUCAAUGUUAACAAGAAAAAGAAACAGGACUUUGUCAGAAUACCUGUAACAAGGAGUUUAGUAUAUUUAUGAACAAAAAAUCAAAAAGAGCAAAUAAAUAUAACAGUACACUUAAUAUAAUCACGAAACAAAUACACUUCCUAAAUACUGAACUAUAAGGUUAAACAGCCAGAAAGGACAACAAGUUUUUAGUAGAAUCACAAGAAAAGAUAUUCAAGACAAAACAACAAAGUAGAAUAACACUUAAUAUAAACACAAAACAAAUACGCUUCCUAAAUACUGAACUAUAAGGUUAAACAACCAGAAAGGACAGCAAGUUUCUAAUAGAAUCACAAGAAAAGAUAUUCAAGACAAAACAACAAAGUAGAAUAACACUUAAUAUAAACAUGAAACAAAUACACUUGCUAAAUACUGAACUAUAAGGUUAAACAACCAGAAAGGACAGCAAGUUUUUAAUAGAAUCACAAGAAAAUAUAUGCAAGACAAAACAACAAAGUAGAAUAACACUUAAUAUAAACACGAAACAAAUACACUUGCUAAAUACUGAACUAUAAGGUUAAACAACCAGAAAGGACAGCAAGUUUUUAAUAGAAUCACAAGAAAAUAUAUGCAAGACAAAACAACAAAGUAGAAUAACACUUAAUAUAAACACAAAACAAAUACACUUCCUAAAUACUGAACUAUAAGGUUAAACAACCAGAAAGGACAGCAAGUUUUUAAUAGAAUCACAAGAAAAUAUAUGCAAGACAAAACAACAAAGUAGAAUAACCUACGGAUAGAAAAAAAAAAACAGUCAUAUGAGAUAUAUAAUUUCUGGUAAAGUUCAAUGUCACUAUACACACACUAUUUUGUACUCAUGUUCUUAAGAUAGUCCUCAAGGAGGCGAGAAGCAGAAGUAAUCAAUAUAAUCUACACCACUAGAUAUAAUGAAUCCUGAAUAUCUACCCACACAUGCUGCCGACACAAGCCACUGAUAAUUGAGGUGUUUGAAAAUAGAAUUUGCAGUUCUCAGGAAAGGGAAAAGAAAAAGGAAAGCUCAGAACUUGGUAAAUCAAAUGAAUGUCUGUUUACUCAGCAGUGAUUUCAAGAUAAGGAGUAGGCAACCAAAAGAAAAUAUCAUAAAUGCUUGUACAACAGAUGACAUUUCCUCCAUUGUUGGUAAACCUCAAUAAAAACCACUUACACAGUUCGCAAGAGGGAAAAAAAAAUAAUCCAACCAAUGUCAAUGGCUGCUUACCUCUGACCCAACGAAGAUUGAUAAGGUACUUAACAGGAAACAGACGGAAAAAUAAGCCAAAACUUCAAUCACUCGAAAUUUGCAACAUACAUAUGCAGAAACAUGAUAUGCCAUGUAAAGGACCAAAAAAGGGUUAGUUUGUGGCAGAAAAUAGGCAAUGCCACUAUAACGUACUAAAUGAACAACAUAAGCAAAGAUAUUAGCCUAUGAGCUUUAAUCCAAGAAAGCGCAUUAACAAUCAACAAAGCUAAAAGACAGCAGCUAAAGAUAUACAGCCAAGAACAGUACCGUGAUACUCCAUACCAAUAGACCACUACAAAACCCCCUGGGAACCCAAAAAUCUAACAACCAGACGACUCCACUACCGAGAAAAGUGCAAAUUGCCGCAGAUUACUGAAAACUUGCCGCAAAUUGGAGACAUUUAAGACAUCAGAAAAUACAUCGCAAACGGUUCCUAUUCUAAACCGCCAUGAUCGGAACAAAAUGCACGGUGUACAGAUAAAUGGCCAUGACGGUAAACGGAAAGAAUUGAAGCUGGUUCGAUUCUAAAAGCAGAGGUCGAUCAAGGGAGACAUAUCAGAUACAGGAGUUCAGAUUUAUCUCACCAUUUCUCGUGCACUGUUCCUCCUCUGCUUCUACUGCUGCCGCCUUCGCCGCGUCGAAGCGGGG
rnacentral:lncRNA from 1 species